UCUGUACCUCCUCAGACGACUGAGAGACUUUAAGCUCCCUCUCAGGGUGCUCAUGAACUUUUACACCUGCACCAUUGAGAGCAUUCUGUGUGGGAGCAUCACCAUGUGGAUGGGGAACUGCACAAAGCAGGACCUCUUGGCCCUAAAAAGGGUGGUCCGAGUUGCUGAGCGGACCACCAGAACAACUCUCCCCAACCUGCAGGACAUUUAUGUGGAACGUUGCAGCAGGGGCGUGUCCAGAGGGGUGGCCCGGGGGGGCACGGGCCACCCCUCCAGUUAGGCUGGCCACCCCAAGUGCCCCCCCGCCGAAACUUUGACGAUGAAAUUCAGUGACAUUUCGUAUGAUAGCGUCUUCACAGUGAAGCUCCGAAAUCGGAGGGUACCUGAAUGCAGUACUUGCUACAGCCUCUCAGUAUCCACCUGCAAAGGGAGGAGACACCAGCGCAGCAAACGGCAGUAAUCGAUAUUGGUAAAAGAUAAGAAGACUCGACUGUAAAUAAAUAUCCCGGAUCUGUAAGGGAGGAUGCCACUGAGGAAGAAAAUGAAGACCCGUCACUCCUGUAUUCACCAAGCAAAGGUACCACUUCACAUGUUUAUCAUCACCCAGGUCAUCAGAAUGUGGCACCUUGUGAGACUACAUCUUCUGCAUCAUGUACUACACAGGGACAUCCUCAUGGUAUUUAACCCUCAAUCCUACUUUUAGA